rnacentral:miRNA from 3 species
AUUGCUAUGCGAAUGACUGUUU